AUUGAACGCUGGCGGCAGGCUUAACACAUGCAAGUCGAGCGAGCGGCGGACGGGUGAGUGAUGGCUGGGAAACUGCCUGAUGGAGGGGGAUAAGGACGGGAAACGGUAGCUAAUACCGCAUACCAUCAGAUGUGCCCAGAUGGGAUUAGCUAGUAGGUGGGGUAAUGCCGCACCUAGGCGACGAUCCCUAGCUGGUCUGAGAGGAUGACCGGCCACACUGGAACUGAGACACGGUCCAGACUCCUACGGGAGGCAGCAGUGGGGAAUAUUGCACAAUGGGCGCAAGCCUGAUGCAGCCAUGCCGCGUGUGUGAAGAAGGUCUUCGGGUUGUAAAGCUCUUUAGUCAGGGAGGCGUUACCCACAGAAGAAGCACCGGCUAACUCCGUGCCAGCAGCCGCGGUAAUAC
rnacentral:rRNA from 1 species